AUAUAUAUAGGAUUUCGGGGUGGGGUAGGGGACAUGUUACAUGACCAUUUGAAAAUUUAAUCCUGAACUGUGUAGCUCGCACCGACCUAAAGAUAUCCAAGGGUUAUAUGGAUCCGACUCCCCCUGCCGAAAGAGCACCAGUCCAUGUGAGCCACAUGCACCAAGAAAUAGGCUAAAACCACCAAUAGUCAAUUAUCCCC
rnacentral:lncRNA from 1 species